CCUACACACAGAUCAAUCUUUGAGGGAGUUACAGGUUUGACUCAGACAUCCGUCGUCCCCUUAAGCUCAUCCGUGUCUGCACAGUGAACCUCGUGUCUACAAUGGCCAUGUGGCCGUCCUCUUAACAUAGUAAGUUACAACCUGUUAG
rnacentral:lncRNA from 1 species